UACGGGGGGGGCAAGCGUUGUUCGGAAUUACUGGGCGUAAAGGGCUCGUAGGCGGCCAACUAAGUCAUACGUGAAAUCCCUCGGCUUAACCGGGGAACUGCGUCUGAUACUGGAUGGCUUGAGUUCGGGAGAGGGAUGCGGAAUUCCAGGUGUAGCGGUGGAAUGCGUAGAUAUCAGGAGGAACACCGAUGGCGAGGGCAGUUCUCUGGGCCGUAACUGACGCUGAGGAGCGAAAGCGUGGGGAGCGAACAGG
rnacentral:rRNA from 1 species